rnacentral:rRNA from 1 species
CGGAAUUACUGGGCGUAAAGCGUGCGUAGGUGGUGAUUUAAGUCCGUUGUGAAAGCCCUGGGCUCAACCUGGGAACUGCAGUGGAUACUGGGCGACUAGAGUGUGGUAGAGGGUAGCGGAAUUCCUGGUGUAGCAGUGAAAUGCGUAGAGAUCAGGAGGAACAUCCAUGGCGAAGGCAGCUACCUGGACCAACACUGACACUGAGGCACGAAAGCGUGGGGAGCAAACAGGAUUAGAUACCCUGGUAGUCCAAAUCGUAUACGCUGCCGACAUUGAGGUUGUGCUCAUUAGGCGUCGCUUCCAGCGCUAAUGCGUCACGUCUUCCGCCUGCGCAGUCCGCCCGCCCGGUUAAAACUCAAAUGAAUUGACGGGGGCCCGCACAAGCGUUGGAGA